GUAGUCGUGGUCGAGUGGCUAAGGCGGUGGACCAGAAAUUCAUUGGGGACUCCCCGCACAGGUUCGAAUCCUGUCGACAAAG
rnacentral:tRNA from 2 species